rnacentral:rRNA from 1 species
GACGAACGCUGGCGGCGUGCUUAACACAUGCAAGUCGAACGGAAAGGCCUCUUUCGGGGGGUACUCGAGUGGCGAACGGGUGAGUAACACGUGAGUAACCUGCCCUUGACUUUGGGAUAACUUCAGGAGACUGGGGCUAUUACCGGAUAGGAGCUCCUGCUGCCUGGUGGGGGCUGGAAAGUUUCGGCGGUUGGGGAUGGACUCGCGGCUUAUCCGCUUGUUGGUGGGGUAGUGGUUUACCAAGGCUUUGACGGGUAGCCGGCCUGUGAGGGUGACCGGCCACAUUGGGACUGAGAUACGGCCCAGACUCCUACGGGAGGCAGCAGUGGGGAAUAUUGCACAAUGGGUGGAAGCCUGAUGCAGCAACGCCGUGUGCGGGAUGACGGCCUUCGGGUUGUAAACCGCUUUCGCUCAUGACGAAGCUUUGUGUGACGGUAGUGGGUAAAGAAGCACCGGCUAACUACGUG